UACGAAGGGGGCUAGCGUUGUUCGGAAUUACUGGGCGUAAAGCGCACGUAGGCGGAUAUUUAAGUCAGGGGUGAAAUCCCAGAGCUCAACUCUGGAACUGCCUUUGAUACUGGGUAUCUUGAGUAUGGAAGAGGUAAGUGGAAUUGCGAGUGUAGAGGUGAAAUUCGUAGAUAUUCGCAAGAACACCGGUGGCGAAGGCGGCUCACUGGUCCGGAACUGACGCUGAGGCACGACAGCGUGGGGAGCAAACAGG
rnacentral:rRNA from 1 species